AGCGAACGCUGGCGGCAGGCUUAACACAUGCGAGUCGAGCGCCCCGCAAGGGGAGCGGCAGACGGGAGAGUAACACGUGGGAACGUACCCUUCAGUACGGAACAACCAAGGGAAACUUUGGCUAAUACCGUAUACGUCCGUAAGGAGAAAGAUUUAUCGCUGAAGGAUCGGCCCGCGUCUGAUUAGCUAGUUGGUGGGGUAAUGGCCCACCAAGGCGACGAUCAGUAGCUGGUCUGAGAGGAUGAUCGGCCUCACUGGGACUGAGACACGGCCCAGACUCCUACGGGAGGCAGCAGUGGGGAAUAUUGGACAAUGGGCGCAAGCCUGAUCCAGCCAUGCCGCGUGGAUGAUGAAGGCCCUAGGGUUGUAAAGUCCUUUUAACGGGGAAGAUAAUGACGGUACCCGUAGAAUAAGCCCCGGCUAACUUCGUGCCAGCCGCCGCAGUAA
rnacentral:rRNA from 1 species